GACGUAGGGCGCGAGCGUUGUCCGGAUUUAUUGGGCGUAAAGAGCUCGUAGGCGGCUUGUCGCGUCGGCUGUGAAAACCCGCGGCUCAACUGUGGGCGGGCAGCUGAUACGGGCAGGCUGGAGUUCGGUAGGGGAGACUGGAAUUCCUGGUGUAGCGGUGAAAUGCGCAGAUAUCAGGAGGAACACCGGUGGCGAAGGCGGGUCACUGGCCCGGUACUGACGCUGAGGUGCGAAAGCGUGGGGAGCAAACAGG
rnacentral:rRNA from 1 species